rnacentral:rRNA from 1 species
AUUGAACGCUGGCGGCAGGCCUAACACAUGCAAGUCGAACGGUAACAGGAGAAGCUUGCUCUUGCUGACGAGUGGCGGACGGGUGAGUAAUGUCUGGGAAACUGCCUGAUGAGGGGGAUAACUACUGGAAACGGUAGCUAAUACCGCGAUAACGUCGCAAGACCAAAGAGGGGGACCCUCGGGCCUCUUGCCAUCGGAUGUGCCCAGAUGGGAUUAGCUAGUAGGUGGGGUAACGGCUCACCUAGGCGACGAUCCCUAGCUGGUCUGAGAGGAUGACCAGCCACACUGGAACUGAGACACGGUCCAGACUCCUACGGGAGGCAGCAGUGGGGAAUAUUGCACAAUGGGCGCAAGCCUGAUGCAGCCAUGCCGCGUGUAUGAAGAAGGCCUUCGGGUUGUAAAGUACUUUCAGCGGGGAGGAAGGGAGUAAAGUUAAUACCUUUGUCUCAUUGACGUUACCCGCAGAAGAAGCACCGGCUAACUCCGUGCCAGCAGCCGC